rnacentral:rRNA from 1 species
UACGUGAGGGGCAAGCGUUGUCCGGAAUCAUUGGGCGUAAAGAGCGCGUAGGCGGCCCUGUAAGUCCGCUGUGAAAGUCAAGGGCUCAACCCUUGAAUGCCGGUGGAUACUGCAGGGCUAGAGUCCGGAAGAGGCGAGUGGAAUUCCUGGUGGUAGCGGUGAAAUGCGCAGAUAUCAGGAGGAACACCGAUGGCGAAGGCAGCUCGCUGGGACGGUACUGACGCUGAGGCGCGAAAGCGUGGGGAGCAAACAGG